CAGCCGCCACGGUAAUACGUAGGUGGCAAGCGUUGUCCGGAAUUAUUCGGCGUAAAGGGCUCGCAGGCGGUUUCUUAAGUCUGAUGUGAAAGCCCCCGGCUCAACCGGGGAGGGUCAUUGGAAACUGGGAAACUUGAGUGCAGAAGAGGAGAGUGGAAUUCCACGUGUAGCGGUGAAAUGCGUAGAGAUGUGGAGGAACACCAGUGGCGAAGGCGACUCUCUGGUCUGUAACUGACGCUGAGGAGCGAAAGCGUGGGGAGCGAACAGGAUUAGAUACCCGCGUAGUCCCUGUCUCUUAUAC
rnacentral:rRNA from 1 species